rnacentral:tRNA from 1 species
AGCUGGUUGGCUCAGCUGGUAGAGCAUGAGACUCUUGAUCUCACGGUCAUGAGUUCAAGCCUCUCAUUGGAUG